UCCAAUGGGUGAAUGUGCAACAUUAUGUGUUUAACUUUGAGCUCGUAUGUGUUAUAAAUGUGAUAAAAAAAAAUAGUUUCGUAGUUGAUAUUUUAGAAAAAAGAGAUUAAGGUUGAAAUCAUGAAGUGAGAUUUGUAAUUGAGUAUUCUAUAUUUGAAAACAUACUUUUGUUGUUUGAUGAAACUAUGUUAUCAUUUGUAUUUUAAAGCAAGUUACAAACAUAGUUGUUAGAAAAAGGAAGAAAUUAUUUUUUGAUGGAUGGUUCUUUUUCAAAAAAAAAA
rnacentral:lncRNA from 1 species